ACAAUAACAGGGAGGGAAGCUCUGCAUGGGCCCAACAGCAUGGGCUCCCAUUCACCAAUGCUGAUCUAGCUACUGCUGCUGCUGAACGUCCAGCCUGCCAACCUGUCCAACCUGAGCUCCUGACACAGCACUAUUCUUCAAAACCAACCAGCCACUGUGACACUCUCUACUCUGAAAGGGGACAGCAUUCAUCCUGAUUGGAAUUUACAUAAUUCCAGAAUAAAAAGGAAUGUCCUAAUUGUGAAAUCAGAAAUCCAUUUUGAAUUCUUCAUAAAAAUGAGGAUGCAGCUGUGUCCUUCUGGUAACAGUGCUGCCAGCACCUUCCAAAGAUGGAUGCUCAACCUGAUGACCCAUUUGUGACAAAGAGAAAUACAGCAGCUGCGCGUCUUAGAAUGCUCACGCCAGCAUGGAAACAGAGACGAGAACUGACAUAGCUGGAAUCUAAGCCAGGCUUCAAUCAGUGCCGCAGCAGACACGUGGAGAAGAAAUGAUGGUCUCCUCCUGGUCCAAAAUGGCUGAUGAAACUCAGCUGUCACAUCUAUGUUCGAGGCAAGUGGAGUAAAGGAUAUCCUUCUAAUGCCCCAGCUUACAUCUCAUUGGCUGAAACAUAGUCAUGUGGCCAUGUGAGGCAGAAAUGGAGGCUGGGUAAUAGUCUUUUAGCUUGGCCCUAAUAUACUCUGUUAUAAAUCAGGGCUCUGUGACUAAGAAAGAAGGGUAUAAUGGGCAUUAGACAGCAUAUAGAAGUCUCUGCCUCAGCUAUGAAAUAACUACUAUCCUUAUUUUAAAGAUGAGAAAUGAUUCUAGAGAGCUUAAUAAGGUCUCACAGGUGGAAUGUAGCAGUGCCCAUAUUUCAGCCCCAGCCUGUCCGACUCCAGAGUUCAUGGGCGUUUCUCUAUAGCAAGUCGAGGGCUGGGGAGGUAACGGAGAGUCCACUAUGUAGAGAUGAUGGUUGAAACAUGAGAGAAGAUGGAUGAGAUUUCCCAGGAAGAACAUAGAAAUAAAAAACAGAGGGGCUCGGGAGAGAAAUAAAGAACCCAAAGGCACUGGGGAAGGCCCAGAGUUAAAGGUGAAAGAUGAAUAGCCACUGGGGGGAAAUAAGAGGAAAGGGUUGCAGAGGAAGGAAGGAAGCCAGGGAACCAAGGCCCAGAGGAGCCAAGGAAGGAGCAGGCAGAGGAGGCAGUUUCCUGACUGAGCAAUGUUGGCCUUGGAGUUGGGGAGCAUAGGUUGGGAUCUCAGCUCUGUCACUUUCUGAUGACAUGACCUUGGGUAGCUGUUCCAUGGCUUGAACUUCAUCGUACUCAUUUCCUGGUAAACAGAAAACAUGCUGAGGUCAUUAGUGGAGAACAUCAGGGCAGUUUAUUUUUGAAUAUGGGUACAGGUAAUAUUGACACGGGUGUUCCGCAGGUUAUACUCCCUAAGUUUAGAAACGCUGCUUGGUCUAGUCCUGCUGUUUUUAAUAGUUUCCACUACCUUGGAUGUGGCCUGGGAAUGGGAGUUGUAGUUUAUGGUGCAUGUCUUAAUUCCGGAUCACUAUUUCUACCUCUAUUUACAAAACAAGUGUGGAAUAGCCAAAGGCAUGGAGAGGUCAGGCCAUUUCCUCCUUUAAUCCACAGCGGGGCAGGGGAGCUCUGAUCCAGCAGAACACACCCACACCCAGAAUGGGUCCCUGACACUGGCUGACUUCAGCCAUCCACCGCCUCCCUGCACGCCUCUCUCCUUGGGAGCCUCCGCCUGUGGACUUGACUUGUGGGUCCCUUUCCAUUCCUUAGGAGUAGGUGUUGUUAUUGCACUGGCCCUCUCUGUGAUAUUGUGCAGCACUCUGCACAUUUAUAGCUUGCAUAAAUAUUGGAUAAUAAUAAAUAACUACAAGGGAGGAAGAAUAUUACAGGCUAGGGAGAGUGAAAGAUGCUGAACUCAUUAUUCGAGGGCCAAUCUCGGGCCUCUUGGCUAUCUCCUUCAAAGAGAUUUGUUUGCCAGCUGUGUUGAGAAAUAUACUUUCCAUAUGAUAAGCCCAGAGAAGAAGCCAAUUUCCCUACAGAACGCUUUCGGAGCAUCCCCAGGAGGGCCCGCAGAAUCCUUAAUGGCGUUUCGGAGAGGAUAACCCCUCACGCCUCCUUGGCAACGGAGGUUAGCGGAAAGCCCUGGGGAGGAUGGCUGUAGCAAGAUGAUGAAAUUAGGGGAAUGGGAUGGAUUCCUUUUAUUUCAUUUUAUUUUCUGAUUCCGUGUGCAAAGAGGGCAGCUUUCCAACCAUUUUAUGGAUCCAUCAUUGGCUGAGAAAGUCACUUGCUUUUCGCUUCACUAUGGUCUUGGCUCCAGGGGGGCAUUUCUUGUUUAAUACGUAACCCAGGUUCAGUGUGUCAAUCAGAUGCUAUCUCUUCUAUAUGAAGAACUGGUGUUUUGAUGUUUAUAAACUAGUUAAGACAGACAACUGAAUUCUUAAAUUUGAAGUACGGUAAAAUAUUGAGUAAAUAUUUAUAGAUCUGGGAGAUUGGAGAAACGAUAAUCAAAAAGAGGCAAUAUGCAAAGCAGCUGGGCUCAUGUCUUUUGUAGUUCUGACUGGCUGCAGCCCAGCCCGGCCACACGGGUGUUUAGUAAAUAAAACUAAUACCUCCUUUAUAUCCUGACCCAUAUCUGCCUAUUGUACUGAAAAUGUUUCCAUCGUUUGUGAACAGAUUGGUUUCAUUCAUUCAGAAUGUCACAUGUGAUUCAUCUGGGGGUAGCAGUGAGGUUCUACCCAAAUCUUGCACAAACAAGAACCAGUGCUUGCCUUGCCCACGUGCCUCCUGGCCUGUGUCUCACUGUCCCCUUGUGAUAGCCCACCUGUGGGGUGAAACACAGCAGGGACCAGGAAGAAGUGGAAGGUGAGCUGGACAGAAGUCAAAAGCAGGGGAUCAAGGUGGGUAGAAAUGAGUUUUGAGAGCAGCAGCUCAGUGAUGUCUUCUCAGGUAUCAGGGUUCUGGAAACCUCAGCAUGGGUUUGGCUUCCCCGUGGUAGCUGGUAGCAGCUGGCACCACCACUGUACUAAGAGAAAAACUCUUUCCAGACACCCAGAACUGUUUGCAACCAAAGAUUUGGAGAUCAGAUUUUAGGAUUUCAGCUUUUUUCAUUUGAUAGUAAAUGAUAUAGGAUAGGAUCUUUUAAACUUGUCUUUCAGCUAUCCCCUCCCCACAGAAAGACUGUUAAGCAGGGAAUUGUGAAAGCCUUUUCUUAUCGUAGGAGACCCUGUCUAGAAAUGGACUAGGAAGAUGUGGAA